CCCUUAGAUGUUCUGGGCUGCACGCGCGCUACACUGAAGCUAUCAACACGUUUUCCCUCCCUGAGAAGGGCGGGUAACCUUUUGAAUCAGCUUCGUGGUAGGGAUCGGGGCUUGCAAUUGUUCCCCGUGAACCAGGAAUUCCUAGUAGACGCGAGACAUAAGCUCGCAUCGAUUAAGUCCCUGCCCUUUGUACACACCGCCCGUCGCUACUACCGAUUGAACGUUUUAGUGAGGCAUUUGGACCGACGCAUCUCAGUUUAACCGCUGGUUUGUGUUGGAAAGACUUCCAAACUUGAGCGUUUAGAGGAAGUAAAAGUCGUAACA
rnacentral:rRNA from 1 species